UGGUUAUUGGCUGGCAGGUAACAAAGUACAUGCUGAGAUAUUUUUAUUCUUAAAAACAUCCUUAAAUAUAUUCUUCUAGAUGAUUUCACUUCUGGAAUAGAGUACUUACUGUCUCUUAAAUGAAGUCUUUCUCCUUGGGUAGCACUGGGGAAAGUCAGGUAAAUUCUUGCUUUCACGUCUGUGUUUCUGGACUCUGUACUGACCGGCUCCUCCCUUUCUGCCUUCAAAACAACUGAUCCGUCUGUAGCUUUUUCCAGUUAUGUUCUAGGCUGGAGGAUACACUGAAGGGGGCCUCUUAAUGGCAGGCGUGUAGCAUUGGUGUCUCAGUGUGGGGCACUUUUGCAGAGAUGGCUGUUCUCCUCCAAAGCUGACUCUCCUGUCCUCUAGGAUCAGAGGAGGCCAGGAUUGGGACAGUGUGAGAUUGAAGAUAUUGAAGAUACAGAUAUCCAGGUCCAGGUCAUUCUAUGGGCUGGGCUGUCCUGUAAAUUUGGGGCACCAGAGCCCACAGCACUCACUGGAGAGGACAGCUCUUGUGCACUACAAGGACAAUUGUGGCCCACUUUCAUUCUUGCCUGGUGCUGAGCUGGGAUGUCCCUAUACUUCCUGUUCACCAUUGGCUUGUGAGACUCGCAGAGUGUACUUUGUCCCUAGCUCAAUAAUCCUGUGGUAUCCCGUGAGCCACUUUUUCUGGGCUUCGGUUUCUUCUUCUGUAAAAAGAGAAGGAGAUUUGAAAGAAAUGAGCUUCAGAGAAUCAUGUAAUGUUUGUUUAAUAUAUUUAAUAUAAUAUACAAUUUGAUAUAACAGUAUUUGUAUUUAUAACCCGGUUUAAAAUACAAUGCUCCAUGACAUCCCCAUAAUUCUACAUUUACAUAUAAGGAGAUUGAGUCUUUUUUUAAGGCGAUUCCAUCUUAAAGAAGAUAAAGAUUGUCUUAAAACAUCCACUCAGCAAAUGAUUGAAUGAGGCCUCAGACACAGAUCAAACUUUUCUUUAAUUGCUAAGUGGUAAUGUCUCCCCGGUCUGAGUCAGAGGACUUUUACCUCCAUCUUUGAAAGGGAGAGCACAGCCCCUGGCUUCCCCUUCCUUGCCUCUCCUCUCAGAGCUGUUUCGCCCUCUUUUGUUCUUUCUGAGUUUUCCAUGUUUUCUUGCCUUCUCCCUCUCUCCUUCUCUCCAUCCCCUAUUCAUCCUCCUCUGAGCCUCGUGCCUCCUCAGUUCCCCUUACCCAAGGGCCAGCCUCUCUCAGCCUCUCUCGUGGCUGGGAUCUGCUUUUAUGAAGAUGUGGUCUAGAUCCUAAAUGGGCCCCCAAAGCUCAUGUGUUGAGUGCCUGGUCCCCAGAGGAUAGUGCUGUUGGGAGAGUGUGGCCUAGUUGGGGGAAGUAGGUCAUUGUGGACAUGCCCUUGUUUGUGUACCCUGGGGACCCUGGCCCUUUCCUCUUUCUCCCUUUGCCUCCUGGCAACCAUAAGGUGAGCAGCUCCUCUGCUGCAUGCUUCCACGGCCAUGAUAUUACUGCCUCACCACAGACCCAGAAGUGACUGGGCCAACCGUGGACUGAAACCUCUGAACCCAUGAGCCAAAUUAAAUCUCUCCUCCCCUUGAUUGUCUCAGGUAUUUUAUUUCAGCAAUGAAAAGCUGACUAACACAUUGCCCCACUCUGCUGGGGUGAAUCUGUGGAUUGAUGAUGACAGGAAGAAGGGGUACCUUGAUAACUGGGUGGUAGUUUAUAGUCUAGAGCAUUCUUUCCCAAGCACAGGGUGAAGAAUGACCUGUUUUGGAUCAAGGCACCACUGUGGAAGAAAGGUUUGAUUCCAGUGCAGAUGCAUGGGCCCCAACCCAGAGACUAUUUUCACUAGGAUUGGGUGAGACUUGUAACCUAUUUUCAAAGAAUCUUCAACAAGGUAAUACUGUGCCCACCAGGGCCUGUCCCUGUGGUGAUCCAGAGAGUGGUAAGUGUCCACAAGGGUACCUGCAAGGUUGUCUCAGGUGGCAGCAUACAUGUAGGUCACCAAACAUCACUUAGUCAGUUUGGCACUUGCUCAUCUUACAUGUCAAUGAUACAUCUGGCUCCAUCAGUAGAACUCCUUGCUUCUAAUUAGCAGAGUGAUAUUAAGUUUUCAUAGGGAGAAGUUAAUAAGGAAAAACAUGUUGAAGAGCUCCUUAGAGUAGACGAAAGUAAAAAGUGUUGGCUUUCUGAAUAGGACUCCCAUAGCUUAGGAAAUAAAUAGCAAGAAUCAACAAAUAGGAUGGCAUCAAAUUACAAUGCUUCUGCACAGCAAAGGAAAUCAUUAACAUUGUGAAGAAACAGCCCUCAGAAUGGGAGAAAAUCUUUGCCAGCUACUCUUCCAACAGAGGAAUAAUAUUUGAAUGUAAAAAGAACUCAGAUUCAACAUCAGAAAAACAAAUAAUCUAUUUAAUAAAUAGGCAAAUUAACUAAGCAGAUACUUCUUUUAAAAAGUACAAAUGGAAUUCAAUUUAUGGAAAAGUGCUCAUCUUUUGGCAUCAGGGAAAUGGAAAUCACAACUACAAUGAGAUUCCAUCUAACUCUAGUCAGAACAGCAAUCAUUAAGACCCCAAAUAACAAAUGCUAGCAAGGAUAUGGGGGGGAUGACUCAUGCACUGUUGAUGUGAAUGCAAAUUAGUACAGCCCCACAGAAAUCAAUAAGGAAUUUCUUCAAAAAACCAAAAAUCAAACUACCACAUGACCCAGCUCCACCACUCCUCAAUAUUUAUCCAAAAGAAUUAAAGUCAGCAUAUAGUAAUAAAUAUGAAUGUCUAUGUUUAUUAUGGCAAAAUUCACCAUUUCCAAGUUAUAGAAUUAUCCCAUGUGUCCAUCUACAAGUGACUGGAUAAAGAAAAUGUGGCACAAAUAUGCAAUGGAGUUGAAUUCCUUCAUAAAGAAGAACAAAAUUGUACCAUUUGCAGGAAAAUGGAUGGAUCUGGAGAUUAUCAUGUUAUGCAAAAUAAGUGACACUCGGACAAGUAACAGAAGGACAUCAUAAAAGCAAAAGGGUGACUAUUAGGUAGAGGAAGGGGUCUAGGAAAAGGAGGAGGGGAAGGCAAGGGGAGGUAUUGAGGAGUGCAAUUAGGAGUGCAAUUAAUCAAGUUAUGUUAUAUAAGUGUAUGAAUAAGCCACAGUGGAAUCCACUAUUCUGUACAAUUAUUAUGCAACAAUUAAAAAAAAAACGAAAAAAGUGUUGAGAAACAUUGGUUUAUGCAAGAAUGUCUGUAUUUCUGCUGAGAAGUUAAAAUUAUGCCAGGUCAACCACACCCUUUCAUUCUGCCUCUCUGUGCCCAUGGACAAUGGGGCCAAAGAUAAGAUCUGAAUUUACAUGUUAGAGUUUCUCCAGCCAUUAACUGUGAAUGGUCAUAUUUGCCCUGACUUGUACAGUUAGGAUGAGAUCUCUCUUUUAAUCCCAUGGCUCUAGUCAUUUGUUCCACUCGUUUGUCACUUAGCACUUAGCAUUAGUGACCUGACAUCUUUUGUAUGUGUCUGUUUUGUCUUCAUAACUAGAUUAGAAAGUCUUUUAUGGUAGAGACCUUGUGUUCACCUGAUAGUGCACUAAUUUACUCACGCGUCUAUCAGACAGGCAUUGAGCACUGCCAGGCACAGGGAUAGAUUAAAUUAAAAAAAAAUAGUAAGAUAUAGUCUCUGACUUUAAACAUUUCUAGCAAACAAACCAUGGCUUGGAAAAUAUAAUGACUGAGAUGUGUUUAUUUUGUACAGAAAAGUACCCUGCCCAGCGGAGAGGAGGCCAUCUUUAACUGAGGCUCAAAGGAAAAAUGAGGAAGAGUAAGUUUUCCAGGUAGAGAAUGGAUGGGGAACAGGAAGACCAUUCCAGGCUGAACUAGAGCUUCUGCUACAUGUAGAGAGGGGCUGGAAUGAGACCAGGCCUAAGCACAAAACUAAGGGCACGAAUCUUGCCUCUGAGGCAGUGGGAUUCCACUGGAGAAUUGAAAUUAGCCAGUGGAAUGAUUAGCUCCCUUGUCCCAAAGCUCACCUGGCUGCAGUAGGGUGGGAAUAGAGGAGGAUGGGAGACCUUUCAGUAGGGCUGAAUUGCUGAUGCCUGAGCAAGGAAAGCGGGUAGGAGUGGAGGGAACCCCUGGAAGAUCUGCUGGGGAAGGAGAAUCCAGAGAACUUAUUGAUUUAAAGGUCAUGAGGGCAAGUGAAAAAUCAGUAUCCCACUGUGAGGGGAGAUUUGUCACUAUCUAUUCAAACAAACAAAAACAGAAUAGUUUAUGCUGCAGUUUGGAUCUGGAGUGUCCCCCAAGGCCUCUGUGUUAAAGGCUUAGUCCCCAGCCUGUGGCACUAUUGGGAGUUGGUGGGACUCCGGUAUUUGUUAUAGUGAUGAGAGCUAACACAGUCCAUGACCUGGAAAUGUCACUUAUGGCUGUCUACCCUAAGAAGAAAAUUCAUGCACCAAUGUUCCUUAAGAAGAAAAAGACUAAUAUGUCUAUCAAUAAGGAUCUGGAUAAAGAAAACAAUUUAAAUAAAAAACACCUCUAUGUAACAAAAUAAUUCUUUCUCCAACACAUUAUAUGACUGACAGAGAAAAAAGAAAAGCUUGUCAUAGAAUAGUACAUAUAAUAGGAGUUGAUGAUCUAGAUAAAAUUUUAGCUGGGCAAGGUGGUGCAUGCCUGUAAUCCCCCUGGCUCUGGAGGCCGAGGCAGGAGGAUGGUGAGUUCAAAGCCAGCCUCAGCAACUCAGUGAGGCCCUAAGCAACUCAGCGAGACCCUGUCUCUAAAUAAAACAUUCAAAAGGGCUGGGGAUGUGGCUCAACAGUUAAGUAUCUGUGAGUUCAAUCUCUGGUACAGAAAAAUAAAAAUAAAAAUCACUUUAGCAUUUGAGGAAGCCCCUCUACAGUUAUCUUCCAAACUCUUCACCUUAAAGUAGACUUGUUAGAUAUUGAGUCUCACUCACCCACAUAGUGCUACUUAGUAGUUCUCUUAUUUCUUUAUUUAAAAUUUUAAUAUUGAGUGUGUAAUAGCAUUUAUAGGACACAUAUAAGUUGUGACACAAUACUCCUAUGUACACCACUAACUCCAAGACCAGAAAAACAUUCUCAUUAUUUUCAAUGUUUUUUGUGUCCCUCUCAAGUCUUUCUUAUUCUUCCCCUCUCAGAAGUAACCGUUCUCCUGAAUUUUGAUUAGAGUUCCACACUUUUUGUUAUUUAGUUUUGGGUGUUUUUGAACUUUAUAUAUAGGAUCAUACAGAAAAUAUGAAAGAAAGGCAAAAGCAUAUCUAAAAGGAGAUAAUGUUUUUCUUGGCAGAUGAUGUGACUAUAUAAAGUUAUUUGAAAAUUAGAACAAUAUGACAACCUGACAAAAUGAUUAAUAUGAAGAUCAAUACAAAAUUAUAGGUUCUUAUAUCAAUAAUAAUUAUAAAAUAAAAUAGAUCUAUCUACAGCAGCAAAAAUAAAAACAUAGUUUACCAACAAAAAUGGAAAUAUGUAAGAUCUAUGUGAAACAAAAUUUGAGAUAUCCCCUAUACUUGGUUGGCUGUCAUGAAACAGAAUAUGACCAUUACAUUCUAAAUAAAUGCAAAUUUCAAAAGAGAAAUAUUUGAAAACGAAUUCACAAUAAGUUACUAGCUUAAUGAGCUUUCUUUCUCACCAACUUUCUUAACAUUUUGUUCUGUGCAUCUGAAAAUUUAGAUGUCCCCAGUGGUGUCUGACGUGUAGGACACGUUGUCUCCAGAAGAAUCACUUUCAGGUGCUUACUGAAAUGCUCAUUGCAGAACACCACCCUCAGAAAUUCUGAGUAAGAGUUCUGAGUAGAACCCAUCCACCUGCAUUUUAACUUGGAAAAACAUUGCUUUAAUCCAAAGGAAGGAAUCUCAGAUGGUAGCAUCCAAGUUCUCUCUGGAGAUCAGCAAAGAGACAUUCUUAGGAAUGAACAUUUUUCUGGCAAUCUUGAGAUUACAUCAGGAUAAUUGGGCACUCCAUAGGUUCAUGUGUGGCUCUUACAAAGGUCUAUAUCUAGAGGACUGCAUGUGGACAUCAUGUUUGUACAAGGUUAUAUGGUAAAGAAUCUUUUAUUCUUCCCACAGUUUUUUAUUGGUGCAUUAUAGUUGUAGAUACUGCUGGGAUUUUCUGUUACCCAUUCAUACGUGCACAGAAUACAUAAUCUAACAACAACAUGUAAGGAAUCUUAAGGACUGUGCCCUACAUUUUCUGUUUGCUAUGCUUUCUUUGGGUUUCUUCCUUAUGUCCUGUGAAUUUGGAGGUGCUGUGAUCAGAAUUUUGUGUUCCCCAAAAUUCAUUUAUUGAAAUCCUUACCCCCAGAUAUGGUAUUGGGAAGUAGGACCUUUAGGGGAUUAUUAGGUCACGAGGGCAGAACCCCCUUGAAUGGUAUUAGUGCCCUCAUAAAAGAUCCCAGUGAACAGCUUGUCUCUCCUACAGUGUGAGGACACAGCAAGAAAGAGCCAUCCGUGGGGGAGCAGGUCCUCACCAGCCACCAAAUCUGCUGGCAUCUUGAUCUUGGACUUCCAGCCUCCAGAAAUGUGAGAAAUAAACUUCUGUUGUUUAUAAGCGACACGGUUUGUGGUAUUUUGAUACUGGUAUCAUUGAUAGUAUUUAUUAUUUUGUAGCCUGAACAGACUUAAGAGGAGAGGAGUAAGGAAGGUGGCCCUGGGAUCAAGGACAGCGGGUGGAGAGGAAGGAGGGCCCUUCUGCAGAGGAUUUGACCAUGCAGAGGCCCAGGCUUUGUGCUGGAGGACGUGCUCAUUUCAUUGUCAACGGUUAGGUGGCUCUCAGUGAACCACAGCAGAAGGCCAGGACGGAAACCAAGACACCCACCCCAACAGUUAGGCCCUCCUCCACAACCACUUCCCUUCUGUGUGUGGAUGUGGUGGGCUGGGUGGGCAAUAUAAGCUUCACCUGGCUCCCUCCACACUCCAGGGCCCCGAGAGAAAGGCCAUCCCUGAACAUUUGGCUUCUGCCUCUGGGCUCACCCGCCUUCAGUUCCAUGGGAGGCUUUGAGGGUCAUCUGUACGCAGGGCUGUCUCUGUUCCUCUAUGGACUUUACCAGGCGCAGCUCGUCUCUAGGGCCUUGAUCUGCAACUCCCGUGUCCAAUAUCCACCAUGUCGUCCUUGGGACAAAGGAAGAUGGGCAAAGCUACGGCAGAUAUAUUACAUUGGCCCGAUGAAGAUCCUAAGUGCCUUCAUUUUAGUAGCCCAAGAGUUGAACAGCGUUCAUGGACAGCUGGUUCUUAUCAGCAAGAUGUAUCACCAGAGAGACUUUAUGUACCGCAAACAGUGGCAGCAUCUCACUCUCUAUUUGACCUUCUUCCUGACGGGGUGUGCAGAUAUGGUGAGCCAGAACCUGAUGCCCCAGAGGUGUGUGGCUCUGGAGCAAGGCACCCAAGCCCUGGGCAUAUUUCUGUUUCUGCCCCUGAUGGUGUCUCACAUGCAGGACACAGAAGGAGUAGAACUGCAGUUUCACAUCCUGCUCACCCAGGCCAUGUUCCUGCUAACGGUGGUAGUGACUGCAGAGCUCUGGGCUCCCAAUGCCAUGCUGAUAUGGACAAUGAAGGCCUUUUUGUACAUGAUCACAGGCUCUUGGUUGGUACAGAUAGGCUUUAUGUUGUUCAAGCCAGUCUCUGGCUAUAAAUGGAUGGAUGAUGACAAAAAUGACAUAAUGUUUGCCACCACUUUCUUCUGCUGGCAUGUGGUCUUCAAUGCCAGUUUGAUGAUCUGGAUCUAUGGCUUCUCUUUUUUGUGGUAUUGCUACAUUCUUAUUAAAGACAGAACCUGGAUGCGCCCCCUGGUGGUGCCCUGUGGCCUUCACACUCCAAGAUGUCUGGAUGAGAAGUUGUGAGAGGUGGGCGGCCAGGAAAGCAGAAUCUGGUGUCCUUCCUUCAUGGGGGUCCUACCUUGAAGCCGCAGACUCUGCUGGAAUGGACGUGCACCCUCUCCCUUCUGGCUUCCCUCAGCCUUAUUUGAACAGUGCAUAGAGGAAAGGUGAACGGAAUAAGAGUCCUGCCACUAAGACCUCCCCUCUCAACUCCCCAAGCGUUUCCCUCCUCAGCUCCUGCUGCGGUACCUGCUUGCCCUGCACCUCUCUGUAUCGCCCACUCCCCUCCCAUGAGAACAUUAAAGAAAUUUUCUAUGUCCUGCUUGUGAAACUUUUUACAAAUAUCCCUCACUCCACCACAUGGAAUAUCCACCACAGUCAAAUUUAGUACAUAAUAAUAAUUUACCCAACAUAAUAACCAUAAUAACCCCACGUCCAUUCUUUCUGGUUCUGGAUCUCUUUCAUGAUGAUACUAUGAAAUCAUGUUUUGACUAAAUAGAAUUCAGAACUCUUUUUGAGUUCUUUAUUUUGAUUACUUUGUGAUUUAUCAAGCAGAAAGUCAGACCCUUUUGCAGCUUCUUGCUCAGUGAGAUCUAGAAGAACAGAGCAGCACCCUACUCACAGAGAGGGCUCCAAGGGCUCGACUGCCUCCAGGGGUUCUCCCCCGCACUGCCUCCUCUAGUACUGUCAGACUCUCCCUCCAGGCAUGUCACCCACUGCUCUGCACACUUGGGAAUCAAGUUCCAAGUAGUAGAUUUGCCAGGACCCACUCUUUUGUGAUUCUCCUAUAUAAUAAAAU
rnacentral:lncRNA from 1 species